AACGAACGCUGGCGGCAUACCUAACACAUGCAAGUCGAACGAGACCUUCGGGUCUAGUGGCGCACGGGUGCGUAACGCGUGGGAACCUGCCCUUAGGUUCGGAAUAACUCCCCGAAAGGGGUGCUAAUACCGGAUAAUGUCUUCGGACCAAAGAUUUACCGCCUUUGGAUGGGCCCGCGUUGGAUUAGCUAGUUGGUAGGGUAAAAGCCUACCAAGGCGACGAUCCAUAGCUGGUCUGAGAGGAUGAUCAGCCACACUGGGACUGAGACACGGCCCAGACUCCUACGGGAGGCAGCAGUGGGGAAUAUUGGACAAUGGGCGAAAGCCUGAUCCAGCAAUGCCGCGUGAGUGAUGAAGGCCUUAGGGUUGUAAAGCUCUUUUACCCGGGAUGAUAAUGACAGUACCGGGAGAAUAAGCUCCGGCUAACUCCGUG
rnacentral:rRNA from 1 species